rnacentral:snoRNA from 1 species
ACCAGGAGUAGCACCGUUGUGGGACACAUAUCCCAUUGUCCCGGCGGCGGACUUGCUUCUGGAAGA